ACUCCUGCGGGAGGCAGCAGUGGGGAAUAUUGGACAAUGGGCGCAAGCCUGAUCCAGCCAUGCCGCGUGAGUGAUGAAGGCCCUAGGGUUGUAAAGCUCUUUCACCGGUGAAGAUAAUGACGGUAACCGGAGAAGAAGCCCCGGCUAACUUCGUGCCAGCAGCCGCGGUAAUACGAAGGGGGCUAGCGUUGUUCGGAUUUACUGGGCGUAAAGCGCACGUAGGCGGACUAUUAAGUCAGGGGUGAAAUCCCGGGGCUCAACCCCGGAACUGCCUUUGAUACUGGUAGUCUUGAGUUCGAGAGAGGUGAGUGGAAUUCCGAGUGUAGAGGUGAAAUUCGUAGAUAUUCGGAGGAACACCAGUGGCGAAGGCGGCUCACUGGCUCGAUACUGACGCUGAGGUGCGAAAGCGUGGGGAGCAAACAGGAUUAGAUACCCCGGUAGUCCCAU
rnacentral:rRNA from 1 species